GACGAACGCUGGCGGCGUGCUUAACACAUGCAAGUCGAACGGAAAGGCCCUGCUUUUGUGGGGUGCUCGAGUGGCGAAAGGGUGAGUAACACGUGAGUAACCUGCCCUUGACUUUGGGAUAACUUCAGGAAACUGGGGCUAAUACCGGAUAGGAGCUCCUGCUGCAUGGUGGGGGUUGGAAAGUUUCGGCGGUUGGGGAUGGACUCGCGGCUUAUCAGCUUGUUGGUGGGGGAGUGGCUUACCACGGCUUUGACGGGUAGCCGGCCUGGGAGGGUGACCGGACUCGUUGGGACUGAGAGACGGCCCAGACUCCAACCGGAGUCAGCAGUGGGGAAUAUUGCACAAUGGGCGGAAGCCUGAUUCAGCAACGCCCCGCGCGGGAUGACGGCCUUCGGGUUGUAAACCGCUUUCGCCUGUGACUAAGCUUGAGUGACGGUACUGGGUAAAGAAGCACCGGCUAACUACGUG
rnacentral:rRNA from 1 species